rnacentral:rRNA from 1 species
UGGGGAAUAUUGCACAAUGGGGGAAACCCUGAUGCAGCGACGCCGCGUGAGCGAAGAAGUAUUUCGGUAUGUAAAGCUCUAUCAGCAGGGAAGAUGAUGACGGUACCUGACUAAGAAGCCCCGGCUAACUACGUGCCAGCAGCCGCGGUAAUACGUAGGGGGCAAGCGUUAUCCGGAUUUACUGGGUGUAAAGGGAGCGUAGACGGGAUGGCAAGUCUGAUGUGAAAGGCGGGGGCUCAACCCCUGGACUGCAUUGGAAACUGCCAACCUAGAGUACCGGAGGGGUAAGCGGAAUUCCUAGUGUAGCGGUGAAAUGCGUAGAUAUUAGGAGGAACACCGGUGGCGAAGGCGGCUUACUGGACGGUAACUGACGUUGAGGCUCGAAAGCGUGGGGAGCAAACA